rnacentral:rRNA from 1 species
CCUCGGGCGGCAGCAGUGGGGAAUAUUGGACAAUGGGCGAAAGCCUGAUCCAGCCAUGCCGCGUGUGUGAAGAAGGCCUUCGGGUUGUAAAGCACUUUCAGUGGGGAAGAAAGCCUUGGGGCUAAUACCCUCGAGGAAGGACAUCACCCACAGAAGAAGCACCGGCUAACUCCGUGCCAGCAGCCGCGGUAAUACGGAGGGUGCGAGCGUUAAUCGGAAUUACUGGGCGUAAAGCGCGCGUAGGCGGUCUGAUAAGCCGGUUGUGAAAGCCCCGGGCUCAACCUGGGAACGGCAUCCGGAACUGUCAGGCUAGAGUGCAGGAGAGGAAGGUAGAAUUCCCGGUGUAGCGGUGAAAUGCGUAGAGAUCGGGAGGAAUACCAGUGGCGAAGGCGGCCUUCUGGACUGACACUGACGCUGAGGUGCGAAAGCGUGGGUAGCAAACAGGAUUAGAUACCCGUGUAGUC